rnacentral:rRNA from 1 species
CCGCCGGCGACCGGCGCACGGGUGAGUAACACGUAUGCAACCUGGCCGUGACAGAUGGAUAACCGGGAGAAAUCCCGCCUAAUACAACAUGAUGCCGGGAGGGGACAUCCCCUGCCGGCCAAAGGGGGCGACCCCGGUCACGGAUGGGCAUGCGGCGCAUUAGGUAGUUGGUGGGGCAACGGCCCACCAAGCCGACGAUGCGUAGGGGUUCUGAGAGGAAGGUCCCCCACAUUGGAACUGAGACACGGUCCAAACUCCUACGGGAGGCAGCAG